AAUCAACGCUGGCGGCGUGCCUAACACAUGCAAGUCGAACGCGAAAGUUCCUUCGGGAAUGAGUAGAGUGGCGUCCGGGUGAGUAACGCGUGGGUAAUCUACCCUUGGGUGGGAAUAACCAGUCGAAAGAUUGGCUAAUACCGCAUAAUGCAGCGGCUCGACAUCGAGACAGUUGUUAAAGCGCAAUCGCAAGAUUGCGCGCCUAAGGAGGAGCCUGCGUCNGAUUAGCUUGUUGGUGAGGUAAUGGCUCACCAAGGCUGCGAUCAGUAGCUGGUCUGAGAGGACGGCCAGCCACAAUGGCACUGAAACACGGGCCAUACUCCUACGGGA
rnacentral:rRNA from 1 species